CCUACGGGUGGCAGCAGUGAGGAAUAUUGGUCAAUGGGCGCGAGCCUGAACCAGCCAAGUAGCGUGAAGGAUGACUGCCCUACGGGUUGUAAACUUCUUUUAUAAAGGAAUAAAGUGAGGCACGUGUGCCUCUUUGUAUGUACUUUAUGAAUAAGGAUCGGCUAACUCCGUGCCAGCAGCCGCGGUAAUACGGAGGUUCCGAGCGUUAUCCGGAUUUAUUGGGUUUAAAGGGAGCGUAGAUGGGUUGUUAAGUCAGUUGUGAAAGUUUGCGGCUCAACCGUAAAAUUGCAAUUGAUACUGGCAGUCUUGAGGACAGUUGAGGUAGGCGGAAUUCGUGGUGUAGCGGUGAAAUGCGUAGAUAUCACGAAGAACUCCGAUUGCGAAGGCAGCUUACUAAACUGCCACUGACAUUGAGGCUCGAAAGUGUGGGUAGCAAACAGGAUUAGAUACCCUAGUAGUC
rnacentral:rRNA from 1 species